rnacentral:tRNA from 1 species
GGGUUGUUAGCUCAGUUGGUUUAGAGCAUUACCUUCACACGGUAGGGGUCACUGGUUCGAAUCCUGUACAACCCA